UUUAGAGAAAUGUCUAUUUGCAUCCUGUGUCCAUUUGAAAUUAUUAUUAUAAUUUUUUGCUGUUGAGUUAUUUUUGUUCCUUGUAUAUUCUAGAUGUUAGUCCCUUGCUGGAUGACUAAUUUGCAAAUAUUUUCUCCCAUUCAACAGGUUGUCUCUUCACUCUGUUGAUUGUUUUCUUUGCUAUUAGGAAGCUGCUUAGUUUGAUA